GAAAGGAGCGCUAAUACCGCAUACGUCCUACGGGAGAAAGCAGGGGACCUUUGGGCCUUGCGCUAAUAGAUGAGCCUAAGUCGGAUUAGCUAGUUGGUAGGGUAAAGGCCUACCAAGGCGACGAUCUGUAGCGGGUCUGAGAGGAUGAUCCGCCACACUGGGACUGAGACACGGCCCAGACUCCUACGGGAGGCAGCAGUGGGGAAUAUUGGACAAUGGGGGGAACCCUGAUCCAGCCAUGCCGCGUGUGUGAAGAAGGCCUUUUGGUUGUAAAGCACUUUAAGCGAGGAGGAGGCUACCUAGAUUAAUACUUUAGGAUAGUGGACGUUACUCGCAGAAUAAGCACCGGCUAACUCUGUGCCAGCAGCCGCGGUAAUACAGAGGGUGCGAGCGUUAAUCGGAUUUACUGGGCGUAAAGCGUGCGUAGGCGGCCAAUUAAGUCAAAUGUGAAAUCCCCGAGCUUAACUUGGGAAUUGCAUUCGAUACUGGUUGGCUAGAGUAUGGGAGAGGAUGGUAGAAUUCCAGGUGUAGCGGUGAAAUGCGUAGAGAUCUGGAGGAAUACCGAUGGCGAAGGCAGCCAUCUGGCCUAAUACUGACGCUGAGGUACGAAAGCAUGGGGAGCAAACAGGAUUAGAUACCCUGGUAGUCCAUGCCGUAAACGAUGUCUACUAGCCGUUGGGGCCCUUGAGGCUUUAGUGGCGCAGCUAACGCGAUAAGUAGACCGCCUGGGGAGUACGGUCGCAAG
rnacentral:rRNA from 1 species